UACGGAGGGUGCAAGCGUUGUUCGGAAUUACUGGGCGUAAAGGGCGCGUAGGCGGUUCGUUAAGUCCUGUGUGAAAUCCCCCGGCUCAACUGGGGAACUGCACAGGAAACUAGCGGGCUUGAGUUCGGGAGAGGGAAGCGGAAUUCCGGGUGUAGCGGUGAAAUGCGUAGAUAUCCGGAGGAACACCGGUGGCGAAGGCGGCUUCCUGGACCGACACUGACGCUGAGGCGCGAAAGCUAGGGGAGCAAACGGG
rnacentral:rRNA from 1 species